CCACAUAUAGAUAUUGAGAUGUGAUUUCACCAUAUUCCUAUGAGCUAAAAAUCGCCGCCUAUUCUUCAGGCAGGUUUUACCUCCUCUAAUUUUCGGAUGCUGCUACCCUACUUAACAAGUCCUUAAUUGACAACAUCUUCAAUUUACAUGGUAUUCCAUUCUCUAACGGCUCUAGAGAAAUUGCUGCAUCUGCAAAAACACUAGCUCUUGACAAGCCUAAUCCAGCUUAAGAUUGGACAGUUGUAUUGACUCAUAGUGGAAAACAAAAAAGAAACUUGCAUAAAGUUAUCGUGCUCGAGCGGACACCUUUAUUGACUGUUUUCCAACCGAGCUAGUUUAUUUGAGGUAUUUUUUCUGUAGAGAAUGAUGGGGGGAGUUAAUUUUGUCUAGCAUAGCCAAUCUUUGGAGCCUUGAAACUUUGAUAUUAUAAGUUUGGGGCGAAAUAUUAUCACUCGCAAUACUUUGAAAGAUGGUUAAAUUGAGACAUUUGCAUAUCUUUCUCUGCUUCACAGUAAAUAAUUAGUUUAUUUAUUGUGAAACCGUGAGAAAUUUACAAAUGUCUCAUCUUCCACCAAAGUGUUACGAGCGGCAACAUUUUUUCCAUAUCAAAGUUUUAAGGUUCCAAAGAUUGGCUAUGGCUGCGUACAUCCUACCCUCCCCAGACCCCACUUGUGGGAUUAUACUGGGUUGUUGUUGUUGUACAGAACCAAUAAGCGAGCAAAACGUGCUCCAUUCUUCAAGGUUAUCCACUUCACAAAAGCCCAAGUGACUUCAAGCUCUCAACUUUUUUAUGGGUAACGUUCAGUGUUGGAUGAGAUGCUGCCUCAUUGUUGUACAUUUUAUCUGCUUCACAAGCCUCUAAUUUCAUGUUUUCUGAUGUUUCAAAAAGCAAUCUCUGAAUCUCAAACAAUGGUGGUGGAAGAGUUAAUGCUCUUUGUUCUUUGACUUUGGACUUCUUUAUCUCAAUAUGGGUGAGUUAUAGCAUAUAUUUAGCUUUCCUCUGAAUAAGAGGUGAGUUAUAGCAUAUGUUUAGCUUUUAUCUUGAUCAUAGUUUCCCAAUUAAUGCAGAUAGUUACUUGUUGUCUUUGUCGUGUCCUUAAUCCCACAAAAGAAUUUAGCUUAUAUUGGUAUAGUUUAACUUGUAGUAGGAUGUAACUUGCCUUUUCCAAGUUACAGAACUCAUCUAUUAUGAAUGGUUAACUAUAAUUAUCGAUCA